GACGAACGCUGGCGGCGUGCCUAACACAUGCAAGUCGAGCGCUGAAGGUUGGUUCUCUUCUCAAUUGGAUGAGCAGCGAAUGGGUGAGUCACGCGUGGGUAAUCUGCCUUUGAGCGGGGGAUAACAUUUGGAACCGUAUGCUCACAUCGCAUCAAAACGUUAAAGACAAGUUUUAUGUUUCAAAGAUGCAAUUGAAUCACUCAAAGCUGAUUCCGCGUUGUAUUAGCUAGGUGGUGAGGUAAAGGCCCACCAAGGCGAUGAUACAUAGCCGACCUGAUAGGGAGAUCGGCCACAAUGGGAAUGAGACACCGCCCAAACUCCUACGGGGGGCAGCAGUAGGGGAACUUCGGCAAUUGACGGAAGUCUGGCCGCACAACGCCGCGGGAGGGGAGGAGGUUUUCGGAUCGUAAAACUCUGUUGGUAGAGAAGAACGUGGAGGAGGGUGAAAAGCUGAUCAAGUGACGUUAACUACCCAAAAAGGAACGGCUAACUACGUG
rnacentral:rRNA from 1 species